rnacentral:rRNA from 1 species
ACGGAAGGCAGCAGUAGGGAAUCUUCGGCAAUGGGGGCAACCCUGUCCGAGCAACGCCGCGUGAGUGAAGAAGGUUUUCGGAUCGUAAAGCUCUGUUGUAAGAGAAGAACGCGUGUGAGAGUGGAAAGUUCACACAGUGACGGUAACUUACCAGAAAGGGACGGCUAACUACGUGCCAGCAGCCGCGGUAAUACGUAGGUCCCGAGCGUUGUCCGGAUUUAUUGGGCGUAAAGCGAGCGCAGGCGGUUUAAUAAGUCUGAAGUUAAAGGCAGUGGCUUAACCAUUGUUCGCUUUGGAAACUGUUAGACUUGAGUGCAGAAGGGGAGAGUGGAAUUCCAUGUGUAGCGGUGAAAUGCGUAGAUAUAUGGAGGAACAACGGUGGCGAAAGCGGCUCUCUGGUCCGUAACUGACGCUGAGGCUCGAAAGCGUGGGGAGCGAACAGGAUUAGAUACCCUGGUA